rnacentral:lncRNA from 1 species
GCUGUAUGUUUCUGUCUUUCGGAGGUUAUUUCCGUUAUUUCCGUUAUUUCUUCCAUUUCCGUUGUUGUUCUUGACCUGUCAGUUAAUUUUUUGCCGAAUGUUUCUGUCUCUGUGAAGGUUAUUUCCGUUAUUUCCGUUAUUUCUUCCAUUUCCGUUGUUGUUCUUGACCUGUCAGUUAAUUUUUUGCCGAAUGUUUCUGUCUCUGUGAAGGUUAUUUCCAUUAAUUCCGUUAUUUCCGUUAUUUCCGUCACUUCCAUAGUUGUUCUAGACCUGUCAUUUAAUUUUCUGCCGUACGUUUCUGUCUCUUUGGAGGUUAUUAUUUUUAAUUCUGUUAUUUCAGUUAUUUCCAUUGUUGUUCACGACCUGUCACUUAAAUUUCUGCCCUAUGUUUCUGUCUCUGUGGGGGUUAUUUCCGUUAUUUCCGUUCUUUCAGUUCUUUCCGUUCUUUCUGUUCUUUCCGCUAUUUCCGUCCUUUCCGUUCUUUCUGUUAUUUUCGUUAUUUCCAUUAUUUCAGUUAUUUCCGUUAUUUCCGUUGUUGUUCUUGACCUGUCACUUAAUUUUCUGCCAUAUGUUUCUGUCUUUGUGGAGGUUAUUUCCGUUAUUUCCGUUAUUUCCGUUUUUUUGUUAUUAUUUCCAUUAUUUCGGUUUUUUCUGUUAUUUCCAUUGUUGUUCUUGACCUGUCACCUAAGUUUUUGCCGUAUGUUUCUGUCUCUCUAGAGGUUCUUUCCGUUCUUUCCAUUGUUGUUCUUGACCUGUCACGUAAUUUUCUGCCGUAAGUUUCUGUCUCUGUCGAGGUUAUUUCCGUUAUUUCCGUUAUUUCCGUUAUUUCCGUUGUUGUUCUUGAUCUGUCACCAAAUUGUCUGACGUAUGUUUCUGUAUCUCUAAAGGUUAUUUCCGUUAUUUCCGUUAUUUAAGUUAUUUCCGUUGUUGUUCUUGAUCUGUCACCAAAUUGUCUGACGUAUGUUUCUGUAUCUCU